GAUUUCCAGGGUAGUAUCGGCUCAAGAAAAUCGGUAUCGGCAUAUCGGUUAUCGGCUAAGGCUGAUGAAAAAAAAUCCAUAUCGGUCGAACCCUGGUGCUGAGUAUCUCUAUUCUCUAGGAAUCCAAACGCCUUCUUAUAAAUGAACAGUGAAUAUUGAGACUCAUUAAAGAGAUGGACAGGGGUUGCACUAUCUUCGUCAGGGCAUCCAACAGAGAACCUUUCAGCUAGGAGUCGAACCCCAAUGUAUACUGGUCACUGGUGACGGGAUAGGCCAUCGUUACUGGCGGGGUCAAACUGCACGCAGUGUGAGGGUUUGCUAAAUAAGGAACCUACUUCAUGUCAUGCUUUCGUAACAAAUGAACAGGAAGGAUGUAACCCCUCCCCCAAGCCCAAGGUCGCCUUCUCACUUCCCUUUUUUGGCCAGCUGGUAUGGGUGGUGCCCUCUGAUAAGGAGGAGCUGGGAUGCCUUGACCCAACUUGAGCUUCAGUGCAUCUGUGUCAGCUCUCUUGUUUUGGAAAGAUGCCCUUUGUUGCCGUGAUAAAUAGACAUCUCUAUUUUUAAAUGCGUUUCUGAAAAUGCCCACUUCUACACUGCCACUAUUGUGCAACCACCAUGACCAGUAUAAAAGGGAAAAUCUGCACCAAAUGGAGAAGGAAACAGCUGUCAACAGAAAUUAUUGCUGCCUCUUUUCAAACAAUUGCGGCCUUAAGUGGGUCACACAGCAUUCAUGAAGCACUGCAUGGCGUCACUUCAAAGAUAGGACAACGAUAAGAAGCGUUUAUGCAAAACAACCAAAUUGAAUGUUUUGUUCUUCAGACUUUUGCUAAAGUGUGACUCCCAUCAACUUCUACGCUUUGAGCACAGCUUUGGAUCAGAUACAUUACAUAGAAUACAUUUUGAUAUAGGUUGGCCUAGAUAUCGGUGUAUUAAUAAUAAGCAGGUGCUGCGUUACAUCUUGAAUCAGUUUCAGAAAGAGUGCCAUCUAAUGGUAGCUUUUUAAUCAAUCAUUUAAAAUGAACUUUUUAAUAAAAAACGUUAAGAUACAAAGGACACUUUGUAAUCCUA